rnacentral:rRNA from 1 species
AUUGAACGCUGGCGGAAUGCUUUACACAUGCAAGUCGAGCGGCAGCGCGGGGCAACCUGGCGGCGAGCGGCGAACGGGUGAGUAAUGCAUCGGAACGUACCCAGUCGUGGGGGAUAACUGUCCGAAAGGACAGCUAAUACCGCAUACGUCCUGAGGGAGAAAGCGGGGGAUCGCAAGACCUCGCGCGAUUGGAGUGGCCGAUGCCGGAUUAGCUAGUUGGUAGGGUAAAGGCCUACCAAGGCGACGACGGGUAGCUGGUCUGAGAGGAUGAUCAGCCACACUGGCACUGAGAUACGGGCCAGACUCCUACGGGAGGCAGCAGUGAGGAAUAUUGCGCAAUGGGCGAAAGCCUGACGCAGCGACGCCGCGUGGGGGAUGAAGGUUUUCGGAUUGUAAACCCCUUUCAUGAGGAAAGAUAAAGUGGGUAACCACUUAGACGGUACCUCAAGAAGAAGCCACGGCUAACUUCGUGCCAGCAGCCGCGGUAAAGUCUAG